UACAGAGGGGGCAAGCGUUGUUCGGAAUUACUGGGCGUAAAGGGCGCGUAGGCGGCCUUCUAAGUCGAACGUGAAAUCCCCGGGCUCAACCCGGGAACUGCGUCCGAUACUGGAAGGCUUGAAUCCGGGAGAGGGAUGCGGAAUUCCAGGUGUAGCGGUGAAAUGCGUAGAUAUCUGGAGGAACACCGGUGGCGAAGGCGGCUUGCUUGGCCAGUUCUGACGCUGAGGAGCGAAAGCGUGGGGAGCGAACAGG
rnacentral:rRNA from 1 species